rnacentral:rRNA from 1 species
GACGAACGCUGGCGGCGUGCCUAAUACAUGCAAGUCGAACGCAGUGGGGACGGGUGAGUAACACGUGGGUAACCUCCCAUCAGAGGGGAUAACACUUGGAAACCGGUGCUACACCGAUACGAAUGGAUGGUCCCUCGGGGCAUUAGCUAGUUGGUGAGGUAACGCCUCACCAAGGCCACGAUGCAUAGCCGACCUGAGAGGGUGAUCGGCCACACUGGGACUGAGACACGGCCCAGACUCCUACGGGAGGCAGCAGUAGGGAAUAUUGGGCAAUGGACGAAAGUCUGACAGAGCAACGCCGCGUGAGUGAAGAAGGUUUUCGGAUCGUAAAACGCUGUUGUUAGAGAAGCGUUAUCUAACCAGAAAGCCACGGCUAACUACGUGCCAGCAGCCGCGGUAAUUC